rnacentral:lncRNA from 1 species
AUAAUAGGGUUUAGGGUUUAGAGUUUAGGGUUUAGGGUUUAGAGUUUAGGAUUUAGGGUUUAGAGUUUAGGAUUUAGGGUUUAUGGUUUAGGGUUUAGAGUUUAGGGUUUAAGAUUUAGGGUUUAGGGUUUACAGUUUAGGGUUUAGGGUUUAGAGUUGAGAAAUGAGGUUUUGGGGAUAAGAUUUCAAAUUUUGAAAAAUAAAAAAAUUAAAAUUUUCAAAUGAUAAAUUUAGAAAGGUGCUAUUUUGGUCAUUUUAGUUUUUGAAUGCUAUUUUU